rnacentral:tRNA from 1 species
ACAUUGGUGGUUUGGUGGUAGAAUUCUCAUCUUCCAUGCAGGAGACCCAUGUUCAAUUCCUGGCCAGUGUA